AAGUCUGAUGUAAUUUGUUACAACAGCAGUAGGGAACAAAUACAAUCAAAGUAUAGAGGUGAAAGUAUCAGUUUUCUAGGAUUCUGGAGUGAGGGAAGCUUCGAUUUGGUUCAGGGACUCCUAGAAACUAGCUCCCAGGGAAGAGGAUAUGGCCUUGCUGAGGCUGAGCUCACUCAAGAACACGAGGCACAGGU